UAAAUUUCCACUGCUAUGCGGAUGACACCCAGUUAUAUUUGUCAAUAAAACCUGAACAAAGUAAUCAAUUAACUAAACUUCGAACAUGUCUCAAGGACAUAAAAACCUGGAUGACCCGCAAUUUUCUCUUAUUAAACUCAGACAAAACAGAGGUUAUAAUACUUGGCCCCAAACACCUUAGAGAUGCAUUAUCUAAUGAUAUAGCUGCGCUAGACGACAUUGCCCUUGCUUCAAAUGAAACAGUCAGGAACUUGGGAGUGAUCUUCGAUCCUGAUUUAUCCUUUAAUAGUCACUUAAAACAAAUUUCUAGGACCGCUUUUUUCCACUUGCGUAAUAUUUCAAAAAUUAGACAUGUCCUUUCACAAAAAUAUGCAGAAAAACUAGUCCACGCCUUUGUUACAUCGAGACUGGACUAUUGUAAUUCAUUAUUAUCAGGCUCCAGCAGGAAGUCGUUAAAGACUCUACAGCUUGUCCAAAAUGCUGCAGCACGUGUCCUGACGAGAACAAAGAGAAGAGAGCACAUUUCUCCAAUAUUAGCAUCGCUACACUGGCUUCCAGUUAAAUCUAGAAUAGAAUUUAAAAUUCUCCUCCUCACCUUCAAGGCCCUUAAUAAUAUAGCGCCUUUAUACCUUAAAGAGCUGUUAAUACCUUAUAAACCCACUAGAGCACUCCGCUCCCAGAAUUCAAGCCUACUUGUCGUCCCUAAAUUCUCUAAAAGUAGAGUAGGAGCCAGAGCUUUUAGCCAUCAAGCCCCUCGGCUGUGGAAUAAUCUACCACUUUCAGUUCGGGAGGCAGUCACCAUCUGUUCGUUUAAAACUUCUCCUUCCUCUUCUCCAUCCCUAUCCCCCUUCCCCGGAAUCCCUUUGCUUUAUCACCCGCAGAUCCAGGGCCUCUGUGGCCGCACCAUGGAUUACGGUUUGUGGAUCGCGCACCGGGGGUCGCGGUGUUGGAUCCAGUGUGGCGGAUUCUGAGUCAUGUGGGCUGAUUGUGGUGCUGGUGGCGGACCCUGUGUCGCGUUGGCAUUGGGCACGGGCGGUGGACCAGGACCGCAGUGGUGGCUUGUGAUGGGUCCUCCUGGUGGGCGGCGGUGGACGGUGACUGAGGACUGAAGUGGCGUCUGGUCUGGAUGGUGGAUCGUGGUCUAGAUGGUUGCUGAGCAUGGACUGUGCUUCAUCAAUGCUGCUAGAGACUUUGAUUAUUGAUGAUGUUCUCCUGCACGUGGCAUCUAUUGCACUUCUGUCCGUCCUGGGAGAGGGAUCCCUCACAUGUGGCUCUCUCUGAGGUUUCUACAUAUUUUUACCCUGUUAAAAGGGUUUUUUGUAGUUUUUCCUUACUCUUGCUGAGGGUUAAGGACAGAGGAUGUCACACCCUGUUAAAGCCCUAUGAGAUGAAUUGUAAUUUGUGAAUAUGGGCUAUACAAAUAAAAUUUGAUUUGAUUGAU